AUCAUGGCUCAGGAUGAACGCUGGCGGCGUGCUUAACACAUGCAAGUCGAGCGAAGCGCUUUGAAGUUUUCGGACGGAUGAGUGACUGAGCGGCGGACGGGUGAGUAACGCGUGGGUAACCUGCCUCAUACAGGGGGAUAACAGUUAGAAAUGACUGCUAAUACCGCAUAAGCGCACAGUACUGCAUGGUACGGUGUGAAAAACUCCGGUGGUAUGAGAUGGACCCGCGUCUGAUUAGGUAGUUGGUGAGGUAACAGCCCACCAAGCCGACGAUCAGUAGCCGACCUGAGAGGGUGACCGGCCACAUUGGGACUGAGACACGGCCCAAACUCCUACGGGAGGCAGCAGUGGGGAAUAUUGCACAAUGGGCGAAAGCCUGAUGCAGCGACGCCGCGUGAGCGAAGAAGUAUCUCGGUAUGUAAAGCUCUAUCAGCAGGGAAGAAAAUGACGGUACCUGACUAAGAAGCCCCGGCUAACUACGUG
rnacentral:rRNA from 1 species